rnacentral:rRNA from 1 species
GGGCUCGCAGGCGGUUUCUUAAGUCUGAUGUGAAAGCCCCCGGCUCAACCGGGGAGGGUCAUUGGAAACUGGGAAACUUGAGUGCAGAAGAGGAGAGUGGAAUUCCACGUGUAGCGGUGAAAUGCGUAGAGAUGUGGAGGAACACCAGUGGCGAAGGCGACUCUCUGGUCUGUAACUGACGCUGAGGAGCGAAAGCGUGGGGAGCGAACAGGAUUAGAUACCCUGGUAGUCCACGCCGUAAACGAUGAGUGCUAAGUGUUAGGGGGUUUCCGCCCCUUAGUGCUGCAGCUAACGCAUUAAGCACUCCGCCUGGGGAGUACGGUCGCAAGACUGAAACUCAAAGGAAUUGACGGGGGCCCGCACAAGCGGUGGAGCAUGUGGUUUAAUUCGAAGCAACGCGAAGAACCUUACCAGGUCUUGACAUCCUCUGACAACCCUAGAGAUAGGGCUUUCCCUUCGGGGACAGAGUGACAGGUGGUGCAUGGUUGUCGUCAGCUCGUGUCGUGAGAUGUUGGGUUAAGUCCCGCAACGAGCGCAACCCUUGAUCUUAGUUGCCAGCAUUUAGUUGGGCACUCUAAGGUGACUGCCGGUGACAAACCGGAGGAAGGUGGGGAUGACGUCAAAUCAUCAUGCCCCUUAUGACCUGGGCUACACACGUGCUACAAUGGACAGAACAAAGGGCUGCAAGACCGCAAGGUUUAGCAAAUCCCAUAAAUCUGUUCUCAGUUCGGAUCGCAGUCUGCAACUCGACUGCGUGAAGCUGGAAUCGCUAGUAAU